GAUGAAGAACGUAGCGAAAUGCGAUAAGUAAUGUGAAUUGCAGAAUUCAGUGAAUCAUCGAAUCUUUGAACGCACCUUGCGCCCUUUGGCCAUUCCGAAGGGCAUGCCUGUUUGAGUAUCAUGAACACCUCAACUCUCAUGGCUCGCCAUGAUGAGCUUGGAUUUGGGGGUCUUGCUGGCCUGUGGUCGGCUCCUCUCAAAUGGAUCAGCUUGCCAGUGUUUGGUGGCAUCACAGGUGUGAUAACUAUCUGCGCUUGUGGUUUUCCAUCAGAUAACCUUCAGUGAUGGAGGUUCGCUGGAGCUCAUAAACGUCUCCCCGAAGCGGGGACAGCCCUUUGAAUGUUUGAUCUCAAAUCAGGUAGGACUACCCGCUGAACUUAAGCAUAUCAAUAAGCGGAGGA
rnacentral:misc_RNA from 1 species